AAGGUAGCAUAAUAAAUUGACUUUUAAUUGAAGCCUUGAAUGAAAGGAUAAAUGAGUAGUUACUAUAUUAUAUUAUUUAUUAUAAUUUGUUUAAAAGGUGAAAAUCCCUUUUAAAUAUAAUAGACGAGAAGACCCUAGGAGUUUUUUUGUUGGGGCAACAUUAUAGCAUUUAAUCUGUAAUUAUAAAUUAGUAAAACGAGAUUUUCUAAUAAUAACUAAACUACCCUAGGGAUAACAGCAUAAAGUUUGUGACCUCGAUGUUGGACUAGGGAAUUUAAAGUUAACAGCGUUAAAUGAUAGUUCUGUUCGAACUUAUUUACCU
rnacentral:rRNA from 1 species